UACGGAGGGGGCAAGCGUUGUUCGGAAUUACUGGGCGUAAAGGGCGCGCAGGCGGCUGCUCAAGUCAGGCGUGAAAGGCCUGGGCUCAACCCGGGAAUUGCGCUUGAGACUGGGCUGGCUUGAGUGCGGGAGAGGAUGGUGGAAUUCCCAGUGUAGAGGUGAAAUUCGUAGAUAUUAGGAAGAACACCAGUGGCGAAGGCGGACUCACUGGAUCGGUACUGACGCUGAGGUGCGAAAGCGUGGGGAGCAAACAGGG
rnacentral:rRNA from 1 species